rnacentral:rRNA from 1 species
UACGUAGGGGGGCAAGCGUUGUCCCGGAAUCAUUGGGCGUAAAGCGCGCGUAGGCGGCCCCGGUAAGUCCGCUCUGAAAGUCCAGGGCUCAACCCUGGAAAGCGGGUGGAUACUGCCGGGCUAGAAUCCGGAAGAGGCGAGUGGAAUUCCUGGUGUAGCGGUGGAAUGCGCAGAUAUCAGGAGGAACACCAAUAGCGAAGGCAGCUCGCUGGGACGGUAUUGACGCUAAGGCGCGAA